CCUACGGGGGGCAGCAGUGAGGAAUAUUGGUCAAUGGACGAGAGUCUGAACCAGCCAAGUAGCGUGAGGGAGUACUGCCCUAUGGGUUGUAAACCUCUUUUGUCGGGGAGCAAAAGCCGGACGUGUCCGGCUGUGAGAGUACCCGAAGAAAAAGCAUCGGCUAACUCCGUGCCAGCAGCCGCGGUAAUACGGAGGAUGCGAGCGUUAUCCGGAUUUAUGGGGUUAAAAGGGUGCGCAGGCGGAUUUUUAAGUCAGCGGUCAAAUCGUGGGGCUCAACCCCAUCCAGCCGUUGAAACUGGGGAUCUAGAGUGUGCGAGAGGUAUGCGGAAUGCGUGGUGUAGCGGUGAAAUGCAUAGAUAUCACGCAGAACCCCGAUUGCGAAGGCAGCAUACCGGUGCACAACUGACGCUCAGGCACGAAAGCGUGGGUAUCGAACAGGAUUAGAUAACCUAGUAGUC
rnacentral:rRNA from 1 species